rnacentral:misc_RNA from 1 species
GAUGAAGAACGUAGCGAAAUGCGAUACGUAAUGUGAAUUGCAGAAUUCAGUGAAUCAUCGAAUCUUUGAACGCAUAUUGCGCUCUCUGGUAUUCCGGAGAGCAUGCUUGUUUGAGUAUCAGUAAACACCUCAACUCCCCUUUCUUUUUUUGAAAUGGGAGCUGGACUUGAGUGAUCCCAACGCUUUUCUCACCGAAAAGUGGCGGGUUACUUGAAAUGCAGGUGCAGCUGGACUUUUCUAUGAGCUAAAAGCAUAUCUAUUUAGUCUGCCUAAAAAACAGAUUAUUACCUUUGCUGCAGCUAACAUAAAGGAGAUUAGUUCUUGUGCUGACUGAUGCAGGAUUCACAGAGACAGCUUCGGCUGGCCUUUGUAAACUCGAUCUCAAAUCAAGUAAGACUACCCGCUGAACUUAAGCAUAUCAAUAAGCGGAGGA